UUGUUCCUUCCGCAUGAGGCAUCAGAAUUAGAGGUUCCUGCCACUUAUUCUUUUAUCUUUCAAUGCCCCUUGGCAAUCAUUAUCCACCUGACCGUUUGCUCCCUUUUUCUUGAAUGGGUUCCCACGUGGCCAUCAGAUGAGAUAUGAACCAUGAAAUGCAAUUCAAUCUAUCUAAGAAACCACAAACCUUCUUUUGUUUUUGGUUCAGGCAUUUCUCGUAUUGCUUUUUCUUUUUCUUUUUUU
rnacentral:lncRNA from 1 species